CAUUUGCAUGAAAGGCCCCUCCCCCUCUCCGGGUAUGAAGAGGGGAAGGAGCGGUGUGGGGACGCUCUGCUCAGCUGUGGGGCCACAGAAGGCAGGACGCCGUGACAUGUCCACCAUGGCCUGGUCCCCUCUGCUCCUCACCCUGGUCUCUCUCUGCACAGGAUCCUGGGCCCAGGCUGUGCUGACUCAGCCGUCCUCUGUGUCCGGGUCCCUGGGCCAGAGGGUCUCCAUCACCUGCUCUGGAAGCAGCAGCAACGUUGGGAGUGGCAAUUAUGUGAGCUGGUACCAACAGAUCGAAGGAUCGGCCCCCAGAAUGCUCAUCUAUGGUGCGACCAGUCGAGCCUCGGGGGUCCCCGACCGAUUCUCCGGCUCCAGGUCUGGGAACACAGCCACCCUGACCAUCAGCUCGCUCCAGGCUGAGGACGAGGCGGAUUAUUUCUGUGCAUCUUAUCAGAGUGGUAACACUGCACAGUGCUCCAGGCCAGGGGGAAGUGAGACAAAAACCUGCCCUCCCUCAAGUCAUGGGCCUCCUGGGGCUGAAACAUCUUCUGCCAGUGCAGACACUUCUGUUUGUUUGAUUUAAAACGGGCGUCUGAGCCCCACAACAGGAAUUUGGUCUAGGAAGUCCUUUCAGUUCUUCUUCAUUCUGCGCCCUCACUAAGGCUUUGUUUUCGGCAACCACAUUUUAUAUGAAUAUCUGAAAUUGAGCAGAUGCCCUGAAUGCCAGAGGCUGGCCCUGGAAGAUAGACUCAAUGACAGUCAAGACAGAACCAGAGAGAGAGCGUCCACCUGUGUCUGAUUCAGGACACUUCAGCUCCUCGGCCGUCCUGGGCUGAGCUGAGGCCCAGGCUGCUGCUCCUGCCUUUCCUGUGACCACCUCGCAGGCUCCCCCAGAGCUCCAUGUCUGCGGGGACUAGCCCAGGACUCCUUCUCACUGGGGGAGGUGGGGCAGCCCAGGGGCUUCCUGCUCAGGCUCUGCUGGACCUUCUGCUGCUGCUGCCCCACCCUGGGUGCAAUCAUCAGGGAGUCUGCACGAGUAUGGAGGCUCCUCUUCUCCCCUCUGUCCUCAAAGUCCCUCCAGCAGCCCAUUCCCAGGAGAGGGUCUCAAAGGACACAGAAAAUCAGUCUCCUAUCCCUGGGGACACAGGGUCUUUUGUUCUCUAUCUCAGUGCCUGAGGUGGGGGUCCGUCAGCGCAUCUCAGCCCUGGGAGGCCCCCAAGCCCUCAGGCCUCUCUCCUGCACAGGGAGCAGGUCCUGCUCUCAGCCUCCUCUGUCCCCUCGUGGUGUCCGGGGCUCAGGCAGGGGGGACUCAGCCAGGGUCGGUGACUCCAUGGACGCUGAGCCACACUCACCUGCCUGGGAACAGCAACACUGUUGGCACCAAGGGGGCGACUUGGCUGCCGUCUCAGUCGUGCUGAGUCCCAAGCUCUGAGCACAGGAGUCACAACCCGCCCGCAGGGUCUCAGCGAGGCUGGCGGGCUCCGGGUGGGGUGGGGCCGCCUGACCAUCUCUGGGCCCGGCCCGAGGACGAGGCUGAUUGUUCCUGCUCAGCUGGGACUCAGCCCUGCUGCUCACAGGAGGCCUCACCCAGGAGGAAGUGACCCAACCCUGAGCUUCCGGCCUCACCCGCACGUGGGAUCACAGAGCACAGGUCACACGCCUGUGUCCUGCUCCCUGUCACUGCCCUUUCACACACACGUGCGGGGUCUGCACAUUGGCUGCCUGGGCUGUGGGGCCACAGUUAACAGAGAUAUAUUUUGGAAUAAGUGGGAUUAUUUCUUCUAAUUCUCCCUUUUCCCUUAAGCCUUAAAUUUGCCCUAGCCUCAAUUUUCAUGCACACAAAAUGACAUAUUUUCCACUGUAUCAGAGGAGCUUUGCUUAAUAGGCUCCAAGUCAAGCAGUGAGGAUCUUUGGCUGGUGGAAUCGGGCCUCAGACACAGCUACUGAGAAAGGAACACAAUUACCGCUCAUUGUGGGAAGCGGAUUCUGUAGCAGCAGCUCAGAAAUGGACAUAAAGUCGAAUUUCGUUUCACGUGGUGAGAAGAAGAAGGUAGGGGCCACACUUCACAACUUACUGCACAAAUUUCCCCCUGAAGCCCCUCACCUGCUCUUCCUGUUCUUCUGCUCCAUGUAA